rnacentral:rRNA from 1 species
AUGCACGCUGGCGGCGUGCCUAAUACAUGCAAGUCGAGCGAACAGACGAGGAGCUUGCUCCUCUGACGUUAGCGGCGGACGGGUGAGUAACACGUGGAUAACCUACCUAUAAGACUGGGAUAACUUCGGGAAACCGGAGCUAAUACCGGAUAAUAUAUUGAACCGCAUGGUUCAAUAGUGAAAGACGGUUUUGCUGUCACUUAUAGAUGGAUCCGCGCCGCAUUAGCUAGUUGGUAAGGUAACGGCUUACCAAGGCAACGAUGCGUAGCCGACCUGAGAGGGUGAUCGGCCACACUGGAACUGAGACACGGUCCAGACUCCUACGGGAGGCAGCAGUAGGGAAUCUUCCGCAAUGGGCGAAAGCCUGACGGAGCAACGCCGCGUGAGUGAUGAAGGUCUUCGGAUCGUAAAACUCUGUUAUUAGGGAAGAACAAAUGUGUAAGUAACUAUGCACGUCUUGACGGUACCUAAGCAGAAAGCCACGGCUAACUACGU